rnacentral:misc_RNA from 1 species
ACACGGGCGAGGGCAUGGAUG